rnacentral:rRNA from 1 species
UACGUAGGGCGCGAGCGUUGUCCGGAAUUAUUGGGCGUAAAGAGCUCGUAGGUGGCUUGUCGCGUCUGCCGUGAAAGCUCAUGGCUUAACUGUGGGUCUGCGGUGGAUACGGGCUGGCUAGAGGUAGGUAGGGGCAAGGCGGAAUUCCUGGUGUAGCGGUGAAAUGCGCAGAUAUCAGGAGGAACACCGGUGGCGAAGGCGGCUUCUGGGCCUUACCUGACGCUGAGACGCGAAAGCUAGGGGGAGCGAACAGG